rnacentral:rRNA from 1 species
GACGAACCACACAAACGUUAUUCGGAAUUACUGGGCUUAAAGGGUGCGUAGGCGGCCUGGCAAGUUGGGUGUGAAAUACCUCGGCUUAACCGAGGAAUGGCGCUCAAAACUGCCGGGCUUGAGGGAGAUAGAGGUGAGCGGAACUUAAGGUGGAGCGGUGAAAUGCGUAGAUAUCUGGAGGAACACCGGUGGCGAAGGCGGCAUCCUGGACCGGCAUUGACGCUGAGGAGCGAAAGCCAGGGGAGCAAACGGG